CAGCAUACCCGGAAGCUACAGAGACGGAGAGAGAGGAACAAAACAUUUUCUUUUCAUGCCUUGUGAUGGACACAGAACCUGAAGGCCUGGAGCUCCAGAUACCACCUGGUCACGCGAGAAUUCCGGUCCUUCAUGAUCCAGAGGUCCUGAGCCCUAGGACCGUGCCUCAGGACUACCUGGCCUGAUGACUCAUUGCUGUCCCCAGUCCACCUGGUCAUGCUGCUGCUCCAGUUUCAACUGUUCUGCCUGCGGCUAUGGAACCUUGACCUGUUCACUGGACGUGCUACCUUGUCCCGGACCUGCUGUUUUGGACUCUCUCUAUCGCACCUGCUCUCUCUAACUCUGAAUGAUCGGCUAUGAAAAGACAACUGACAAUUACUCAUGAGGUUCCGACCUGUUGCACCCUCUUCGACCACUGUGAUUAUUAUUAUCUGACCUUGCUGGUCAUCAAUGAAGAUUUGAACAUCUUGGCCAUGUUCUGUUAUAAUCUCCACCCGGCACAGCCAGAAGAGGACUGGCCACCCCUCAUAGCCUGGUUCCUCUCUAGGUUUAUUCCGAAGGUUGUGGCCUUUCUAGGGAGUUAUUCAGAGCCACCGUGCUUCUACAUCUGCAUUGCUUGCUGUUUGGGGGUUAAGGCUGGAUUUCUGUUCAGCACUGUGACAUCGGCUAUUGAAAAAAGGGCUUUAUAAAUACAUUUGACUGAUUGUAGCCUGUCAUGCCGGUGGAAAAUGCAGUAUACAGUGCUCUCAAUCAAAUGAAGGAAAAUCUGCUUUCAAUGCAGCGCGAGUCUAACAAUCUCAUUUUGGGGGUUGUCAUCUGAUUACCUUGACAACUUAUUGAGGGCCGCAGACAUAAACAGGAUAAUUUCAACUGCGGACGUGAGCUAUCUGUAAAGGGGAGGACGCAAUAUGAUUGUAGAGCAUCCAAUACACAAUAUUGCCAUGGCAACAACUGGAUCCUCCUUCAAUAGUUAAUAUGAAUUCCUUUGUGUAGCUCAUGCUCUCGUCAAAGGUGGGGUUAAAUGCCCACAAUGAAAUGGGCUCUUUAUCUGCUGAAAUGGAAGGAGACAAUGUCUGGAUGAGCUGUAUGGGAAAUUUCAUUCAUUCAGAUUCUAAGAACCACCCACCAAAACAAGACCAAGCAGCGGAAGAAGGAGAAGAGGAACGCUGAGUAUAUGGACUAUGCUGAGAGAAUGGACUUUGACAUGGACAAUCGCGAGCAGUGGAGUUGGGAACAGAUUCUGGCCGGAGAGGGCCCGUGGAAGAAG
rnacentral:lncRNA from 1 species